GUCGGCAAAAUGGAUCCGU
rnacentral:snRNA from 1 species